GCAGAUUCAGCCACAGAGUGGGUCCUCGGCAAAUGUGACUGACUUUCCAUCUCAAGGUGUUGCCCCGCACUGCACCCACACCUUUUCUCCAGUGCUUCUCUGGAAUUCAACAAUAUGAUGACAUCUUCCCGAGCUGGCCACGCUUCUGCCUCUGCAUCUUGUCUCAGUAGGCACACGAUGUCUGUAUCGGUGAGCUCCACGAGGUACGUCAAGGAUGCAAUCGCCUGAAACGGGGGUUUCUGCCAGGAUCACUGUGGAAAACAAGAAGCAAAAAAGCCUUCCAUCUCUCAGUACUUGUUAGAACAAAACCACAAUGAUACCACUAUUUAUUAUGUUUUGGUGACUCAAGAUUUUGUCAAAUCCUCUAGAUUUUUAAAUGUGUAUACUAAUGCUGUUUUUAGAAAGUACAAUCUGCAAUUUGGAUACAAAUCCUCACUUUCAAAGCUUCAGAUGAUGGCCCCCAUCGUAAACACAAUGAGGAGCUGUGCCCAUGUUUUGCCCCUACUGCAUGCAAACCGCCUUAAGGGCAAGGAUGCUCAUUCUUUGAGGGGCCUGGCCUCGCUGGUCUGGUCGGAGGAAACCAGGCAGGCCUUUGAGGGGACAUCUUUUUCCUGCUGCUGUUUCCUUUCAUCCUUUUACUGAGCCAUCAGGAGAGGAAGCGAGCAAGCUUACCUCGAAGUUUGGGUUUGAGCUUUCCUCUUGAACUACCAAGUCACAGUGACUUUUGGAGUUUUGUCGUCCAUGGAAUGGGUAACAUUUGAAUAAUGACAUUUUCCUCGCUGGGCUAUUGGGGAGUUAAGUGAGAUAAUGUAUGCCUGAAGACACCCAAUUCACUGCAGAAAAUGGAGGGAGUGCAGCUUGAACGAGCUGGUUCUUUUCCUAAAUCCUUCAUCCUGGGACAUGCAAGCCAGCUUCUCCUGCCUCGAUGGGGAAGCCCUGGAUCUCUGGGAGCCUAUUAGCUGAGCCAAGUGGAGAGUUAAACAUCCAAAGUGACAAGGGGGUGCAGAGCUAUUUCAGAGCACCCCACUGCCCCAGCAGAUGGUUCUGGGCCAGAUGGCUCCAGCGCAGGGGGCAAGGGGGAGGCAGCCAGGUGUUUAUUGUGGCAGCAGAGAUGUGAAAGGAAGAGUUCACUUGUCCACCUCCUUGCUCUCCCUCGGAUUUCUACUCCAGAGGGGCCACUGCCCAGCCCUGACAGAUGUGCAGUCUGGGAAGGUUUCCAGGUGCAGUGUUGGUGACACCCGAGCUUUAAUAAUCUCCAAUGCCGAAUUGUUCACUCUGUGACCCUGUCAUUUGGAGAAUACAUUGGACGUUGGCGGAGUCACCAUACAGCACCUCAUUAGUUUUUGAACUCUUCAAAGAGAGCCAAACAGCCAUGAAAUUCAAACCUGUCUGCUCCCACAAGACACUUUCUUCCCUUGGAGCUGACAGAGAGCCCAAAGAGCGGGCGGAUCCCAGGGCGGGAAAAUCGGAAAGUCACUGUGCCUCACAGAGCAGGCAGCUUCUCCAGUCAUGACUGCUACGCUGCUCGAAAGAAGGGUUCAGGGAACCUGCCUUUGCGAUUGGUUGACACCUGCACAACGUUCAGUCAAUGCGGCAAUUGUAGCAACCAGCACCAGAAAUGUCAGCUCUCAUUAGCCGGCAUAUAAAUCUGCCUCCCUGAGAAGUGGGAUGAGAGAACCACAGAGAAAAUGCCAGGAAGCAGGAACAUAUGUUGAUCACACAAAGAGAAGCUCCGACAAUGGGUGUCUUCCUCCACAGCCCAGGCACCUGGAACAGGAAGGCUUUGUUUUGCCUCAGCCCUCGGUGCCCCCGUAACAGGAGGCUGGGCAAUGUGUUCCACCACCCGGGGUGGGAGGUUCUGCUAAGUGUUUGCUGACACAGCUGAACAGUCGUAAAAUGUCAUAAAGAGUAAAUGACUUGA